UUUGUUAGAGCACAUCGAUUUCGAGAACAAUAUUCAGUGAGGAACACUUGGCACGUCUCCAAGCUUUGGAUCAAUUCACAACUUCCUCAAAUUGUUGACUUUAGCUCCAGUGUGUGGAGAAAGCUCACAAAGAAUUACUCAAAUUUCGUCUCAAAAGACUCAUUCUAUUGAAGAUGAAUUAGCAUCUGGAAGUGUUGAAGUUAAAACUAUUGAGGCUUUGAUUGACUCUAAGCAUCAAUGAAACUUCUGGAUUGUAGCAACCAUUGUGUACAUAGAUCUAGAGCAUGGAUGGUCUUAUUUAGCAUGCAAAAUGUGCGCAAAGAAGGUUGAGCCAGAGGGGAAUAAGUUCUAUUGUAAAAAAUGCGGGCAAGUUCCAUCUGCCAGUCAUCGGUUCAAGCUAAAAUUAGGAGUGAUAGAUGACACCGGUACAAUUAUUUUGAUGAUGUGGGAUAGGGAUGCAAAAAUGAUCGGAAAGUCAAAGCAAAUGAUUUAAAAAAUG